GGCUGUGCCACUUAGCAUUACAGGCAAUGGGGGUCCGGUUCCUGAAAGGAAAGUUGCGAUUUCCCAGAAGAAGGCCGCGUUUCCCAAACGCCCCUUCUCCAGGGUGAGAAGCGGUGGAAGCCGCGCUGACCGCAGUAAGGAUCCGACUUCCGAGGUCACUCACUGCAGCCACAGUCACUUUCUUUGAUCGCUGCAUUUCCCCAUCCCUGGCUGGAGAAAGCCCCAGCACCGCUCAGCCGGGUCAGGAACCGGUGGCCGAGGUGGGGCCACUUCCCUUCUCUCUGAAGCUGCUCUGAAGUCCCAGACAGCCCGAGAGCUGGGCCUCUGAUGCUCAGGAAAUGCCGGGCAGGGUGAGCUGGAAGAAGCGGCUGCUCUUUGCUCGGGGGUUAUAGCCCACCACCAGAGAACUCCUGUGGGGGUUGUUGUGCGUCAACACAGGAAAGGCACAACUUGUGCAGAUACAUCGGAGCGAAUCUUUACAGUCACCUGCAUGACCACCACCCAGGGGUGGUAGGAACACCUUUUGUUGUUGUUGUUGUUGUUGUUGUUAAGAUUUUAUUUAUUUAUUCAUGAGAGACACAGAGGCAGAGACACAGGCAGAGGGAGAAGCAGGCUCCAUGCAGGGAGCCUGAUGUGGACGCGAUCCGGGACUCCGGGAUCACACCCUGAGCUGAAGGCAGGCGCUCAACCACUGAGCCACCCAGGCGUCCCACAUAUGAACACCUUUCUGACACCCCAGGUGUCUCCUCCUGGGCAGCCCUGGAGCUUCUCUUACCAUCACUGUUGUAUUUUCCUGGAGCCCCAAGACCAGGGCCAGGCCAGCACUCCCAUCCCCACCCAGUGCUUCGCUGGCCCACCCUGCAUGUCAGGGGCACUUCUCUUAGGGGCAAAGAACCUAACUGGAGCUCAGAGAGAAGUACCUGCCCCCCCAUUCACCCCAUCACCACCAAAAACAACAGCAGGGGGUUCCACUGGCUGACAGAGGCUUUAGGGAAAUUCUUGCUAGAGAUCAGAGGGCUGUCCUCACUGCCAGGCCCUGGCUUAGUUGGUUCAUUCCAGCCUACGACGAGGAAAAGAUUCCUACCAUGAAGUCAUGCUUAUCAGUCAGAAGGGCUUCCCCACAAGGUCCCUCUGACUUUUGCUCCAGGUAAGGGUGGGUAAUAAUCCACUCUGCCCACACUGGUUUUUCCUAGCCUCUGCUGGUGAUGUUUCCAUCGUGUUUCAGAAGACCAAGCAGGGCAGAGCCUGCUGCCUAGUCCGGGAAAGGGUGAACACCCCUUUUGGGCCAUGUCUGGUCCACGAUUCUGGGGGUGGUGCAGCCACCAGACCCCAACCCCACAACUGAAGUUUUUGAAAGGGCAGACAGCCAUCUCCGGUGGUUUUCCCCAUCCAGAGACAAGAUAGAUAGGCAUCCUCUGUUCUCAGAAACGUCAGCAGGGAGCAAGCUUGCACGAUUUCUUCAAACAUACAGGCAGGGCUAAAACCUAAUUCAGGACACCCGAUAGUUUCUAGGUCCCGUCCCUGAUCAUGACCUAUCAUUUAUCUUGCGGAGCUGGGACAACCCUGGGCUGGCAGCCCAUGUUCCAGAAACAUGGGUGUAGAUUUACAAGCACAUCUUUUAUCCAGAUAAUGGAAGGCUGGGCUCAGAGCAAACAGACAAGCAAUCUUCCCUCACUCCACUCCCUACCCCAGCAGCAAGGACUAGGGUUUCCAAGAGCCUCCCUCCUGGCAACCCAAGCAUUAUCCCCAUUUUGAGGAAGAGGAAACUGAGGCUCAGAAACUCAUACAGAUGGGGGCUUACUCUGUGCCAGUUGCUUAAUACCUAAAUAUGACUCCCUUCAGUUCUCUCAACUGCUGUGCAGAGUGACAAUCAGCGGUGUGUUACAGCCGAAAACAAGUGUUCAAAGAAGGAACCUGCUUGCCCGGCGCCACAGCCACCAAGGGCUGGCUCUGGGAUUGAGCGUCAGCUGAGUCUGGCUCGAGAGCCCAUGGAGGGGUCUCUGCCCUGUGGCCAGUCCUUCUCUGCUGCUGCCUUGGACCCAGCCCAAACUGACAUUUCCAUCCCUCUGGACAGGCCCAAGGGUGAAGAAGAUACUGGAGACUGAAUUCUCCCUCUUCCCCACCGCCCUAGGGCACCCCCCCCAGCAAAGCAAGUGAUGCUGGGAAAACAAAAGGGACAAGAUUCCUGCCUUUUCGGAGGUCCUGCUGCAAACGCAGGAAAAAGGAGUGGAGGGGUGGGGGACACAGUAAGGUGAGGAUUUUGAAGCCAGAGUUUCAAAGAUCUUAGGGCACAGACUGUUGGCGUUUUUUGUUGAAGAGCCGAUGGAUCUUUGGGAAGUUCCUGUAAGUAAUAAAACCAUUUGCCCGGGAGUCUCCCAGAAAAGUACAGGGAUUCUUCAUUUCAUUGCGCUUUGCUUUAUUGCACUCUGCAGAUACUGUGGGUUUGGAGUUGGUUUGGUUUUGUUUCUUUCUUUCUUUCUUUUUUUUUUUUUUUUUGGUUUUGUUUCUUUCUUCUUUUUUUUUU